AGUGGCGGAUGGGUGAGUAACGCGUAAGAAACCUGCCUUUCACACCGGGAUAGCAGCUGGAAACGGCUAUUAAUACCGGAUGACACUUUUUCCCCGCAUAAGGAAGAGGUUAAAGAAUUUCGGUGAAAGAUGGUCUUGCGUCUGAUUAGCUAGUUGGUGGGGUAACGGCCUACCAAGGCGACGAUCAGUAGCCGGCCUGAGAGGGUGUACGGCCCACAUUGGGACUGAGACACGGCCCAAACUCCUACGGGAGGCAGCAGUGGGGAAUUUUGCACAAUGGAGGAAACUCUGAUGCAGCGACGCCGCGUGAACGAAGAAGGUCUUCGGAUUGUAAAGUUCUGUC
rnacentral:rRNA from 2 species